GAUUAGAGUUUGAUCCUGGCUCAGAUUGAACGCUGGCGGCAUGCCUUACACAUGCAAGUCGAACGGUAACAGGUCUUCGGAUGCUGACGAGUGGCGAACGGGUGAGUAAUACAUCGGAACGUGCCCGAUCGUGGGGGAUAACGCAGCGAAAGCUGUGCUAAUACCGCAUACGAUCUACGGAUGAAAGCGGGGGAUCGCAAGACCUCGCGCGGACGGAGCGGCCGAUGGCAGAUUAGGUAGUUGGUGGGAUAAAAGCUUACCAAGCCGACGAUCUGUAGCUGGUCUGAGAGGACGACCAGCCACACUGGGACUGAGACACGGCCCAGACUCCUACGGGAGGCAGCAGUGGGGAAUUUUGGACAAUGGGCGCAAGCCUGAUCCAGCCAUGCCGCGUGCAGGAUGAAGGCCUUCGGGUUGUAAACUGCUUUUGUACGGAACGAAAAAACUCUCUCUAAUACAGGGGGUGAAUGACGGACCGAAGAUAGC
rnacentral:rRNA from 1 species